AGGAUGUGGCAAAUAUUUUGUCCAGUUAAACAAGAGUUUUCUGGUGAAUCUAUAGUUGCUAAGACAGUAGCUCGCUAAUUUGAAGAAGACAUGCUUGUGGUGUUUGGAUUCAUGACAUUAUCAGCACUGUCUAAUGGAUUGAAGAGCCACUGUAAUGUUACAGAGGCAGAAGAUCAGUAUUAUGGAGCUCUGGGAGGGACUGUCUAUCUCCGUCUGGUCACUGAUAACAUCGCAUAUAAUGAAAUCUACUUAAUAAAAGAUCCCUCUGGAAAAUCUAUAAUACUUUUCAAAAGGAGAAACAAAACCAACAUAAUGAAUGAAGCCAUCAAAUCUAGAUCAGAAUUCUAUUUCAACAAUGGGACAUUGAAGAUAACAAAAAUAGAAAGGAGUGAUGCUGCUGAAUAUUCCUCAGAAACAUUUAAUUUUGUUACAUCCCUAACCUGCCUAAGAUUUCAACUGUCCAUUGAAGAAGGAGGCAAUGAAGUGGUCACAUGGUCUCUAGUAGCUGUAGUCCUGGUCCUUACUGUGAUAGUGUCAGUUUUCUGGAUCCACUGGAGGAGGACACCGCCCCAGACAACAG